rnacentral:rRNA from 1 species
CCUACGGGAGGCAGCAGUGAGGAAUAUUGGUCAAUGGGCGCGAGUCUGAACCAGCCAUGCCGCGUGAAGGACGACUGCCCUAUGGGUUGUAAACUUCUUUUAUAAGGGAAUAAAGUGAGGCACGUGUGCCUUUCUGUAAGUACUUUAUGAAUAAGGAUCGGCUAACUCCGUGCCAGCAGCCGCGGUAAUACGGAGGAUCCAAGCGUUAUCCGGAUUUAUUGGGUUUAAAGGGUGCGUAGAUGGGUUGUUAAGUUAGAUGUGAAAGUUCGCGGCUCAACCGUGAAAUUGCAAUUGAUACUGGCCGGCUGGAGAGUAGAUGCGGUAGGCGGAAUGUGUGGUGUAGCGGUGAAAUGCUUAGAGAUCACGAAGAACACCGAUUGCGAAGGCAGCUUACUAAGCUGCCACUGACGUUGAUGCACGAAAGUGUGGGUAUCAAACAGGAUUAGAUACCCUAGUAGUC